rnacentral:rRNA from 1 species
UACGUAGGGUGCAAGCGUUGUCCGGAAUUAUUGGGCGUAAAGAGCUCGUAGGCGGUUUGUCGCGUCUGCCGUGAAAGUCCGGGGCUCAACUCCGGAUCUGCGGUGGGUACGGGCAGACUAGAGUGAUGUAGGGGGAGACUGGAAUUCCUGGUGUAGCGGUGAAAUGCGCAGAUAUCAGGAGGAACACCGAUGGCGAAGGCAGGUCUCUGGGCAUUAACUGACGCUGAGGUGCGAAAGCGUGGGGAGCAAACAGG